rnacentral:tRNA from 1 species
GGGGGCGUAGCUCAGCCAGGUUAGAGCGGCUGCCUUACAAGCAGCAGGUCGCUGGUUCAAGUCCAGCCGUCCCCA